UCAACUGUACCUGUUUAGGUCAAUAAUGCCUGUCAUGUUUGUAUAAUAUACCUGUUUCCUUUUUGUGUCAUAACUGCUGAUGAUAGAAAUGAAUGAGGAAACAUGUAGAAGAUAAAUAUUCAGCUCUCUCCCUCACAUACACCAAGAAGGCACUCUGACAACCCACAAGAUGGAGAAAUUCCUACUAGUACUUGUGGUGAUUAUAACAUGCUGUGCUGUACCUCAAGGAUUCGUUCAGCGGGCGUUUCGACCAGCAGCAGUCAUUUGUUGGCCUGCUGACAGACGUCCACAUGUGGGACUACAUGCUGUCUCCCUGUGAGAUCCAGAGGUGCACCAACCAGAUUAACUUCACCCCGGCGACAUUGUCACGCCCUGGCUCUGGGGACACUGUUAUGUUGAGCCAGGGUGUGUAGAUCA